rnacentral:rRNA from 1 species
CAGCCGCCACGGGAAUACAGAGGGUGCGAGCGUUAAUCGGAUUUACUGGGCGUAAAGCGUGCGUAGGCGGCUUUUUAAGUCGGAUGUGAAAUCCCUGAGCUUAACUUAGGAAUUGCAUUCGAUACUGGGAAGCUAGAGUAUGGGAGAGGAUGGUAGAAUUCCAGGUGUAGCGGUGAAAUGCGUAGAGAUCUGGAGGAAUACCGAUGGCGAAGGCAGCCAUCUGGCCUAAUACUGACGCUGAGGUACGAAAGCAUGGGGAGCAAACAGGAUUAGAUACCCCAUAGUCCCUGUCUCUUAUACA